rnacentral:lncRNA from 1 species
UUUUUUUUUUUUUUUUUCUUUUUCCCCCUCUUCCGCGUAAAAAAGUAACGAGGCAAAACUUAAUUAAUUGCCCAGAGAUUAAGGACAAAUAAUGGAAAUGGUGGUCCCGACUAGCCGUUGUGCGAAGGGUUUUUCAGUUUCUUUUUGCUAGGAAAUGGAGCAGAGUUUGAGGCAUCUCCACCGUUGACACGAACAUUCCCGUUCGGAUCAGGAACAGAAUCGAUGGUCACAUGAUCCAUUGGGCCACCCGGGCGGUGGGCGGUCUUAAAGUUUUGGGCUUGGGCCAUUGGUGGGUCUGGGUCAGCUACUCCGUAGAUGGCGCGGGAUUGCUUCCCCGAAUAGGUUUAUAAUUUGAUUUCUAAUGUUCUUUGUUAUUAGGGUUUUCUGAUCAACCAAGGUUUUAAGCGAAUGGAUGGGUUUAAACAAUUAUGGUAAAUCGAUAAUUGCAAAACUCAAUUGGUUUUAGACUUACAUUGUUUCUGAAAUUAAGAUGGAAUUACAGGGCGAACAUGCAGUCAAUGGAUCGGACACCGGAGAAAGUGGCAUAUGGUGGUAUGUUCUGUAUCCUCGACUUCUCUAUGUCUUUCCCCAAAACAGUUCUUUUUCAUUUUUUGUGGUUCACUGUCUUUUACCAGCGGGUGUUGCGACUGGAGCUGUAGGUAUAGCUGCAGGGGUAUCAUUCGGCUCUAAGAUGGUCUUCGACUGGUUUGUUUCUUCCUCUGAUUCUUAUACUCAUUUCCCAGUUCUUUAUUUUAGCUUUCUUUUUUUUUUAACUUUUCCUUAUAUAUUUCUUCUUUUUGUUGGUAAAUUUUAAUGAUAAUGUUUAUUCACGUAGGGUUAUUGAUCGCUGUGAUGAAUUCGAGACGAGGACUAUACAGAGGUUUGCUCAACUCUAUGUACAUCUACGUCUCCUUCUCCCUGAUCUCCAUUUUUGUCAAAUCAAUCACUGCUGUUAAGAUGGUUUCAUUUGUCAGCGGAGUCAAUAACUAAUUUAUCUAUUGCUGAUUGUCCGACUUCCUAUUGCUUUAGAAGCUUGAUACUGCUUGUGGUUACUCUUUGUUGGUUGAAUUAUUAUUAUAAAGAUUCGUCCUAUUUCUUCUCAUUUGGGAGUUUGAUUCCUUACAUUUGUCUAUGGAAGUUUCUUGUUUUAGUUAGGAGAAGUCAAGGUACGAUUAUGUUUUUAAUCCAGGCUUACCCGUUCUCCUUCUCACAAGAAAGAAACCUGUGCAUCUAGCCCGGUGCUAUAGGUCUAAGUAAGUGGAAAAACUUUAUGUUUGAGCCACUAUAUUGGUUUCAGCCUGGACUCUUGCAGCGUUCGGUAUUUGGAGUUCUUGGUGUCCAAAAAAAAAAAUUGUCACUAAAUGUAACGGAAUGUGAUUAUUUAUGUCGUUCAUGCACUCAUAAAUGCUCAGUUCGGAUUGUACUAUUUCUAUGUUUGGAUUCACACUUCAUACAUUCAUGAAUUAUUCCAUUCUGUCUGAUCUCCAAUAACUUAAUUGUUCUUCUUUCAGUUAUGUGUUCAGUUACUUCUCUGUUUCAGAUGGCUGCAUCUUUAAUUUGUCUUGAUUCUGUUUCUUAUAUGAUGGGAAGGAAUUGGAAUUUCCAAUCAUUUCUCUUUUUAUUGACUUUCAGGAUUAUGCGAAAAAUAGAAAUGAACAGAAGGGAUGGAAGUAAAGGAAUUUCAGCAUCAAAGCUCUCAGGAUUUGAACCAGAUGUAACUUUCCAAAUAAGAGUGCUAUGAUAUUCAUGAUCUGUUGAGUCCUUAAUAAUUUGUAUAGCAUUAUAUUUAUGCCUGAACGAUUCUAUUAUAGUAAAUCGAUUGUGCCUUAAGAUGAGAAUUCUUUUAUUUAUGGUUAUAGCAAAGAGGUUCCCUCUAAUGGGUUUCUGAUAAAUCGAUUGUGUGUUAGCUAGAUGCAUUAGAUAGCAUUAAUAUGUUGCCAAAAUUGCUUGAAAUGUUCAUGUAUAUGGAUUUCAUGGAAAGGAACAUGUUGUUUAUUAUGGCUACAAUGUGUUUUUCUUUUUGUUGCUUUUAUAGAUGUCUAGGAGGCUAAAGUAUUUCCUUAAAAGAGAAAAGAGUUGUCUUUGUCCACUAAUAGGAGUUUCUGAAUUAAUUUGAGACGUUUGAUCGCUGAUAUUAACUCUGAAGAAGCUCAUUUUGCAGGACACGUAAUAUCUUGGGUGACUGGAAAGAAAGCUGUGGAGAAAUGCAGGUUGAAAGCACAUAUGAUACUGCGAUAUAGCUUUCCUUUCUUUUGGUUAAUCCUCUCCUCUUUGUCAUGAUGACUUUUAUAGUUGUGAUUAAUUUUAGAAGCUCCUUUGCUGGAUUUUGUUUGGAUAAGAGGAUAUCUGGUUUGUUGAUCCUUUUCAAUCAAUCUAUAUGCUCAUUUGCAAGCAUUGUUGCAAUUGUUAUAGUGGAGGAAGUGGAACUGGAAGUCUCCUUUCAACAAUCACAUGACUAAUAUUACCUGUGUCAUCAAUUUAUUAAUAAUUUUAAUUUUAUAAAAAAAUAAAUAAAUAAAUAAAAGCACC